rnacentral:misc_RNA from 1 species
GAAAUGCGAUAAGUAAUGUGAAUUGCAGAAUUCAGUGAAUCAUCGAAUCUUUGAACGCACAUUGCGCCCGCCAGCACUCUGGCGGGCAUGCCUGUUCGAGCGUCAUUUCAACCCUCAGAACCCCUUGCGGGAUCUGGCGUUGGGGAUUGGCAUCCAGCCAGCACCGAAAUCUAGUGGCGGUCCCUCCGCGACCUCCCCUGUGCAGUAGCGAUACCUCGCAGCGGGACAGCGGUCUGACCACGCCGUAAAACCCCCAACUUCUCAAGGUUGACCUCGAAUCACGUAGGCAUACCCGCUGAACUUAAGC